AUAUACUCAUUAUUCAAGGGUACUAUGGUCAUUAUACAGAACUGAUUUUUUUAAGCAAACCACAUGUGCCUCUUCCAUAUUCUUCCAGAACGUUCUUCCUCUUUCCUCAUUUUUGCAUAUUAUUAAGAGAUUAGGAAUUAAGCAAAUGAAAAUUGGUAGGAUCUUCUCAAAUCCGUUCUUCUUCUUUUUACUCAAACCGGAAAAAGUAGACACAAGUCUCUGCUAUUUUCAUCUUUUCAGCAGGCUAUCGCCAUUUUUAGGAGGUCGAUGCUUCCUCUGAGUAAGCGGCUCGUAUUGUUAUUCUUCAUUCUAGAAUUAACUGGACAAGUAUUUUUUGGUUGCCAACUCUUUGUUGUUGGUCUUGACUGCACAAAUUCGACUUAUGUUGCUGCUUUUCAACUUGGAGCAAUAUCAGUCUUUAUGUUCAUACUUGCUUUAUUCAUGGGUUGCAACUACUAUUUGGUCUGUGUUAGCUUUUUGGAUGGUUCCGAUGCAAUCACUUGAUCAAGAUGGCUAGAAGCUUAUGGGAAGACACACAAGUCCGCUUCCUAAGUCAUUUUUCUUUGACAACAACAUUUCAGGUAAUGCAGAAAACGUAAAGUUGCAAGCUCAUACAAGUUGUUAUGAAAAGAUAUAUUCGAUUUAGUCAAGACGACUGAUUGAUAGAGGUGGUCAUUUGGUCUGCAAUGUAGCCAACAAAGCUAGAAAAUUGGAAAGAGCAGCAAAACUAUUGCGAAAUCAAUCCCCAAUUAUAUUUUAGAAAAUAUCUAGAAGAACAACUAUUCCUCAUAAUGAAUGAAGAGUUGUCCUUAUCUUUUGUAUAGUUCUUGCCUUCAAGAUUUGUAUUUUUGAUGUAAUGAUCAGGCUUUAGAUAAAUUAGAUCAAUCAAUGGUGAAAUUUAUGGAUUCCUUGCGCUUUUAAGAACCAGAUUUUUGUUUAUCAU